CGGGAGGCAGCAGUGAGGAAUAUUGGUCAAUGGGCGCAAGCCUGAACCAGCCAUCCCGCGUGCAGGAAGACGGCCCUACGGGUUGUAAACUGCUUUUC
rnacentral:rRNA from 1 species